rnacentral:rRNA from 1 species
UACGAAGGGGGCUAGCGUUGUUCGGAAUUACUGGGCGUAAAGGGCGCGCAGGCGGCCUAUCAAGUCAGAAGUGAAAGCCCCGGGCUCAACCCGGGAAUUGCUUUUGAGACUGAUGGGCUCGAGUUCGGUAGAGGUAAGUGGAAUUCCCAGUGUAGAGGUAAAAUUCGUAGAUAUUGGGAGGAACACCAGUGGCGAAGGCGGCUUACUGGACCGAAACUGACGCUGAGGCGCGAAAGCGUGGGGAGCAAACAGG